rnacentral:rRNA from 1 species
AUACGGAGGGUGCGAGCGUUAAUCGGAAUUACUGGGCGUAAAGGGUGCGUAGGCGGCUUGAUAAGUCGGAUGUGAAAGCUCCGGGCUUAACCUGGGAAUUACAUUCGAUACUGUCAGGCUAGAGUAUGUCAGAGGUUGGCGGAAUUCCUGGUGUAGCGGUGAAAUGCGUAGAUAUCAGGAGGAACACCAGUGGCGAAGGCGGCUAACUGGGACAAUACUGACGCUGAGGCACGAAAGCGUGGGGAGCAAACAGGAUUAGAAACCCCAGUAGUCC